CCGUACGGGAGGCAGCAGUGGGGAAUAUUGGGCAAUGGGCGCAAGCCUGACCCAGCAACGCCGCGUGAAGGAAGAAGGCUUUCGGGUUGUAAACUUCUUUUGUCAGGGACGAAACAAAUGACGGUACCUGACGAAUAAGCCACGGCUAACUACGUGC
rnacentral:rRNA from 1 species